UGAGCAAUCUGCCCUUCUCAUCGGAAUAAGCGUUGGAAACGACGUCUAAUGCCGAAUACGACCUCCUUUCGCAUGAUCGGAGGUGGAAAGCUCCGGCGGAGAAGGAUGAGCUCGCGGCCUAUCAGCUAGUUGGUGUGGGUAACGCCCACAAGGCGACGACGGGUAGCCGGCCUGAGAGGGCGACCGGCCAUACUGGGACUGAGACACGGCCCAGACCUCCGUACGGGAGGNAGCG
rnacentral:rRNA from 1 species